AAAAAGCUCCAAAAAAGCAAAUAAAAAACAAAAUCAGAGAGUGCUUAUUUCCUUCUCCCCUUUCCCAUCUUCCCUCCUUUUCCUUUUCCUUUACCCUUUCCCUUUCCUUUACCCAUUUUUGG
rnacentral:ribozyme from 13 species